UACGUAGGGACCAAGCGUUGUUCGGAUUUACUGGGCGUAAAGGGCGCGUAGGCGGCGUGACAAGUCACUUGUGAAAUCUCCGGGCUUAACCCGGAACUGCCAAGUGAUACUGUCGUGCUAGAGUGCGGAAGGGGCAAUCGGAAUUCUCGGUGUAGCGGUGAAAUGCGUAGAUAUCGAGAGGAACACCUGCGGCGAAGGCGGGUUGCUGGGCUGACACUGACGCUGAUGCGCGAAAGCCAGGGGAGCAAACGGG
rnacentral:rRNA from 1 species